rnacentral:rRNA from 1 species
UACGUAGGGUGCGAGCGUUAAUCGGAAUUACUGGGCGUAAAGCGUGCGUAGGCGGCGCGUUAAGACAGGUGUGAAAGCCCCGAGCUUAACUUGGGAAUUGCGCUUGUGACUGGCGAGCUGGAGUGUGGCAGAGGGAGGUGGAAUUCCACGUGUAGCAGUGAAAUGCGUAGAGAUGUGGAGGAACACCGAUGGCGAAGGCAGCCUUCUGGGCCAACACUGACGCUCAUGCACGAAAGCGUGGGGAGCAAACAGG